GAUGAACGCUGGCGGCGUGCCUAAUACAUGCAAGUCGAACGAGGUCUUCGGACCUAGUGGCGAACGGGUGAGUAACACGUUGGUACCUACCCCGAAGUGGGGAAUAACUGCCCGAAAGGGUGGCUAAUACCACAUAAUACCGCAAGGUUAAAGCAGUAAUGCGCUUCGGGAGGGGCCUGCGUCCCAUUAGCUAGUUGGUAGGGUAAUGGCCUACCAAGGCGACGAUGGGUAGCUGGAUCGAGAGGAUGACCAGCCACACUGGGACUGAGAUACGGCCCAGACUCCUACGGGAGGCAGCAGUAAGGAAUCUUCCACAAUGGACGAAAGUCUGAUGGAGCAACGCCGCGUGCAGGAUGACGGCCUUCGGGUUGUAAACUGCUUUUAUACGGGAAGAUUAUGACGGUACCGUAUGAAUAAGGACCGGCUAACUACGUGCCAGCAGCCGCAGUAA
rnacentral:rRNA from 1 species